UCGGGAAUCUUGCACAAUGGGCGAAAGCCUGAUGCAGCGACGCCGCGUGGAGGAUGAAGGCCCUAGGGUCGUAAACUCCUUUUAUCAGGGAAUACUUAGAAGGUACCUGAUGAAUAAGCCAUUGCUAACUACGUGCCAGCAGCCGCGGUGAUACGUAGAUGGCGAGCGUUAUCCGGAAUUACUGGGCGUAAAGAGGUGCGUAGGUGGAGAACUGCGUCGUUUCUUAAAAGGUGAGGCUCAACCUUACCCUUGGAUACGAUACGGGUUUUCUAGAGGGAAGUAGAGGCAAGCGGAACUUCCGGUGGAGCAGUGAAAUGCGUUGAUAUCGGAAGGAACACCAAAGGCGAAGGCAGCUUGCUGGGCUUUUCCUGACACUUAGGCCCGAAAGCGUAGGGAGCGAACCGG
rnacentral:rRNA from 1 species